UAAUACCAUCCACACAUGUAUAACCUUGGUUUGAAUAAAAUUAAUACAUAAGAGCGAGAAGUGUUCAGUCAUAUGUGGACAAGAUUCUAGUGCGGCAGUGUUCAGUUAAUUUAAACAUUUCUCGAAUAGUCUUCUAAUAUCGAAAUGGACUUACUUCGUGUAACUUCCGACGAAAGAACUCAAAUUUUGAAACUUUACAACGUUGACAAUACCCGAUUAAAACAAGACAUUGAAAUGAUCACAACUUGGAAAUCAAAACAACCCCAUCUUCAAGUUGAUGUAAGUGACGAAUUUCUCGAGAAAUUGUUACUUAAAAAUAAAUUCAGUGUUGAAAGAUGUAAAGAAAAAUUAGAAAAUUAUUACACGCUUCGUGGGACAAAUAAGGAUUUGUUGGAAGGUUAUGAGAAAAUUCUACCGUCACAAGAAGCACUAACUUUUUUACCACUUCCUCAACUCACCCAAAAUUACGAACGUAUCAUAGUCAUGAAACUGAUAAACACUGAUCCAAAAAUCUACGAUCUUGUACGCGUUUUCAAAUUUGCAGUAAGCCUAAAUGAAAUGAUGUUACGACAUGAUGGCAGUUUAGGAAUUCGAGUUCUUAUAGACUACACAGGUUUCACUGUAAAACAUUUAGCUACUUGGAAUCCUGUAAUUUUGAUGAGAUAUUAUAGCCUCGCUGAAAAAGCUUACUCUCUGCGAAUUAUGGAAUUAGAAUUCAUUAAUUACCCAUCGUUUGUCAACAAAAUUUUCUCAAUAUUUAGGAUGUUUCUACGACCAAAAAUUUACGAACGAAUAAAACUUCACGAAAAUCUAGAAUCUUUAUACAAGGUAAUCCCCAAAAAAUAUUUACCGGAGGACUAUGGAGGUACUAAUGGCAAAAUCUCUGAUUUGUUAGAAAAAUGGGACAAAGAAGUAAAAACACAAGAAAAUUUUCUACUAGAGUGUGCAAACACUGUCGCAAAUGAGGAGCUACGUCCUCCAGAAUCACAAGAAAAUGAUUUAUUUGGAACGGGUGUGACUUCAAAUGGACUUACUUCGAGUAACUUCCGACGAAAGAACAGAAAUUUUGAAACUUUACAACAUCGACAAUGCCCGUUUAAAAGAAGACAUUGAAGUUCUUAAAAUUUGGAAGUCCAAGCAACCCCAUCUUGAAAAAAAUUUAAGCGAUAAUUUCUUUGAGAAAUUGUUACUUAAAAAUAAAUUCAGUAUCGAACGAUGUAAAGAGAAAUUGGAAAAUUAUUACACGCUUCGUGGGAAGAAUAAAGAUUUACUGGAAGAUUAUGAAAAAAUUGUACCCUCACAAAAAG